CAGGGGGCUCGAGCGUUAAUCGGAAUCACUGGGCUUAAAGGGUGCGUAGGCGGACCGGAAAGCGUCCUGUGAAAUCCCACGGCUCAACCGUGGAACUGCAGGGCGAACUGCCGGUCUUGAGGAAGGUAGGCGCCGACGGAACAGUAGGUGGAGCGGUGAAAUGCGUAGAUAUCUACUGGAACGCCGAUGGUGAAGACGGUCGGCUGGGCCUUUCCUGACGCUGAGGCACGAAAGCGUGGGGAGCAAACAGGAUUAGAUACCCUGGUAGUCCACGCCGUAAACGAUGCACACUAGAUCGGAGCGGCUCUGACGCCGGUUCGGUCGAAGUAAAAGCACUAAGUGUGCCGCCUGGGGAGUACGGUCGCAAGGCUA
rnacentral:rRNA from 1 species